GAGGUCGGAAGCAGGAACCCAAGGAAGCGACUCAGGGGAAUACCAUACCUGAGCGCCGUAGGAAUCUCCGGCCUUCAGGCCGGGGAGGAUGUCAAAGCUUACC
rnacentral:misc_RNA from 1 species